rnacentral:rRNA from 1 species
AUUGAACGCUGGCGGAAUGCUUUACACAUGUAAGUCGAACGGUAGAGGGGGCAACCCCUCGAGAGUGGCGAACGGGUGAGUAAUAUAUCGGAACGUGCACAGUCGUGGGGGAUAACGUAGCGAAAGUUACGCUAAUACCGCAUACGAUCUAAGGAGGAAAGCGGGGGAUCGCAAGACCUCGCGCGAUUGGCGCGCCCGAUAUCAGAUUAGUUAGUUGGUGGGGUAAGGGCCCACCAAGCCAACGAUCUGGAGCUGGUCUGCGAGGACGACCAGCCACACUGUAACUGAGACACGGUCCAGACUCCUACUGGAGGCAGCAGUAGGGAAUUUUGGACAAUGGGCGCAAGUCUGAUCCAGCCAUUCCGCGUGCAGGAUGAAGGCCCUCGGGUUGUAAACUGCGUUUGUACGGAACGAAAAGGUCUCUCAUAAUACGGGGGACUCAUGACGGUACCGUAAGAAUAAGCACCGGCUAACUACGUGCCAGCCGCCGCGGUAA